rnacentral:lncRNA from 1 species
UCAAUCUGAAGUGCACAUUUAGCCCACCCCAAGAAUAACAUUAAAUUUCUCCCUCAUAGAUGCAUCUCUCUAACUGAAAUGCCACAAAAAAGUAAAACAAGCACAAAGAGGCCUUGCUAUGAAACAAAAAUAUUUGCAAUGCCAUUGGAAACUUUAUGGAUCACUUAAGGUGAUAAUCUACAUUUCAUCAAAUGUAACAAGAUUGGAACAUCUACUGAUGUUUGAGAAGCAAACGCUGUGCUGUAGAAUGCACUUUUCUGAAUUGCAUACGCAGGACUCGAGACAAGUUAGAACAAAAUACCUUUCUGCAAUGAAUAGCUGUUGCAUGAGUGAAAUUAAAUGGGAACCUAAAGUAAUUAUCUUUGCCAGACAGGUUUGUGCCAUCCAUUAAUUUUGGAUUAAGAUUUUAAGAAUGUCAUA